rnacentral:rRNA from 1 species
ACAGAGGGUGCAAGCGUUAAUCGGAAUUACUGGGCGUAAAGCGCGCGUAGGCGGUCGAGUAAGUCGGAUGUGAAAUCCCCGGGCUUAACCUGGGAAUUGCAUUCGAUACUGCUUGGCUAGAGUGUGGAAGAGGGAAGCGGAAUUUCCGGUGUAGCGGUGAAAUGCGUAGAUAUCGGAAGGAACACCAGUGGCGAAGGCGGCUUCCUGGUCCAACACUGACGCUGAGGCGCGAAAGCGUGGGGAGCGAACAGGAUUAGAUACCCUGGUAGUCCACGCUGUAAACGAUGAGAACUAGAUGUUGGGGGGUAUAACCCCUCAGUGUCGCAGCUAACGCGUUAAGUUCUCCGCCUGGGGAGUACGGCCGCAAGGUUG